ACAAUCCGGAAAUGGGCGGAGCGUGGUCGCUAAAUUGGUUCCUGUGGAGCUAGGUGGGCUGGGAGAGAGAGGCUUGUGGGAGGAAUAUGAAUGUUUUCUAAUGGGAGGCAUUUAAAUGCCUUAGCUGAAGAUUGAUUCAAAGAAAAGCUCUCUUUUGGAUUCAUCUCAACAUCUAUCAGGGAAUAAUAAACAGAGAACUACCCUGAAAAGAAGAGUCCAGGAUAGGACAAGAAAUAAAGGAAAACCGAAGACAAAGGGAAAUAAUCUGCAUUGCCAACUCAUGGCAGCUACUAGAAUUGCAGGGAUUGACUUCAGAAGGUACGCGAAGUGUUAAGACAAAUGCGCAAAGGAACUUAGUAGGAUGGAUACAUGUUGGAGUAUGACUUUGUUAUGAAAGCAGAGACUUAUCUAACUUGAGAUACAUUCAUGUACACCGUUGUGAGGCUGUAUUUUCUUUCUUUGUGUAAUGCCAGUUGUUGGUCAUGGAAUUUGUUUUUCUUUUCUUUGUUACUUUAAAUAAGUUAAGGUCAGCUGAUCAUUUUUAUUCUCCACAUUUGAAUCUGAAGCACAACAAUUUCCACUGAGGAUUCUUGUGGAACUUCAUUUUCGUUAUGUUUUAAUAAAGUCUUAUUUGUAUUGACUUU